AUAUUUACCUGGCAAGGGAGAAACCAUGAUCAUGAAGGUGGUUUUUCCAGGGCAAGGCUUAUCCAUUGCACUCCAGAUGUACUAACACCUGAAAUUUGCCACAUGUGGGAAACUUGACUGCAUAAUUUGUGAUAGUGGAGGACUGUGUUCAUGCUUUUCCCUG